GUCGCGGCAGAUUAGCUAGUUGGCGAGGUAACGGCCCACCAAGGCGAUGAUCGGUAGCUGGUCUGAGAGGAUGAUCAGCCACACUGGGACUGAGACACGGCCCAGACUCCUACGGGAGGCAGCAGUGGGGAAUUUUGGACAAUGGGGGCAACCCUGAUCCAGCCAUUCCGCGUGAGUGAAGAAGGCCUUCGGGUUGUAAAGCUCUUUUGUCCGGAACGAAACGGUCACGGUGAAUAUCCGUGCGCUACUGACGGUACCGGAAGAAUAAGCACCGGCUAACUACGUGCCAGCAGCCGCGGUAAUACGUAGGGUGCGAGCGUUAAUCGGAAUUACUGGGCGUAAAGCGUGCGCAGGCGGUUUUGUAAGCCGGAUGUGAAAUCCCCGGGCUUAACCUGGGAAUGGCAUUCGGGACUGCAAGGCUGGAGUGCGGCAGAGGAGACUGGAAUUCCUGGUGUAGCAGUGAAAUGCGUAGAUAUCAGGAGGAACACCGAUGGCGAAGGCAGGUCUCUGGGCUGACACUGACGCUCAUGCACGAAAGCGUGGGGAGCAAACAGGAUUAGAUACCCUGGUAGUCCACGCCCUAAACGAUGUCGACUGGUUGUUGGGGGUUUGACACUCUCAGUAACGAAGCUAACGCGUGAAGUCGACCGCCUGGGGAGUACGGCCGCAAGGUUAAAACUCAAAGGAAUUGACGGGGACCCGCACAAGCGGUGGAUUAUGUGGAUUAAUUCGAUGCAACGCGAAAAACCUUACCUACCCUUGACAUGUCCUGGAGCCUCCUGAAAUGGGGCUGUGCCCGAAAGGGAACGGGAACACAGGUGCUGCAUGGCUGUCGUCAGCUCGUGUCGUGAGAU
rnacentral:rRNA from 1 species